rnacentral:lncRNA from 1 species
AACCCCCCCCUUGGCUACGCCCCUGGUAACUGGCAGGAACUAGUCCACGAAGUGUAGAACAAAUCAUUUGCACCUAUCUUGGCAAUGGAUGCACCGAUGCUGUAGUCUCACAGAUAAUUUAUCCACCAAUGUACGUACGGGCAUUUUUCCCUUUGUUGGUUUUCUAUGCACUACAUUCUUUGAAUUCCUUUUCUCAAAAGUUUCUUACUUAUUCACGUGUUGGGCCAUUUUAAAAAUGCAGAAGCCUUUUCAAUGUAACUGCACUGCCACUGCUAAUGCAAACCCAUUCAUGACAAAUUUGCAGUGAAAUUCAUUCAAGUGUUUGUAUGUUAAAAUUGCAAACAUAAUUUAAUUACCACAGUGAAUUUUUUGUAGGACCUCAGUGAUAGAAUGUAGUAGCUAAGGAAAUGCAUUACACUAUCAUUUUGCAAAAAUGCAUUGGAACAUUUUAGCUAGCUGUUACUGUUCAGUGAGCAAUUUUUCACUCAUUCCAUGGGUAAUUAAAAGUGAGUUUUCCAUUUCAGUGAAAUUAGUACCAUAAUUGCAAGGGACAAAUCCAUUUGUUAAGCAGGAGUACAUUAGCUACAAGAAUAUUCUGAGGGUAUAUUCAAAAGUGUGUUGUCGAUCUGUCUCUCUCAGUAAGCGCACAUAGAAAGUGCACUAUCGCAACAUUUGAAACACUGCAAGAAAGAUGUCACCUUUUGACUACUAGACUAGAAGCACAACAUGAGUAACAGUGUGUGAUUUUAAAUCUGUUGACAAUUUUUUGCUCUGCUUUUUCUUGUGGAGAGUGCUUGUUCAGCUGCUGAUAUUUGCUGCAAAUGGUUCAGCCGGAUAGUUCUUAAUUGCACUGCGUGUUCGCUAUAAAACAUUGUGCAGAAAACAUUUUCAGAUAGUGAACAUGGCUGCAGAGAAUCUCACUGAUGACAUUUGCCUGUCUUUUCUUUUUUUUUUUUUAAUUUCUGACAUGACUGAGUGUCCCAGGGGGACCUUGCAUUGUUCUCUUGAGUGUGUUGAGAGAUUAUAAUUUCAUCGUGUUGAUUUGAUCCUAUUAUCACUCAGCAUAGGCUCUUUUUUUUUUCGUCAUUCACAAUACGUGAACGUCUGUAUUUCCUUCCUGAGCCUGGCCUUUCUUUGUUCACAUGUGUUAGCUGAACCGUGUGCUUACUGUUGUAGAUUCAUGUACUUUUAGCUUCCUGUGCAAUGUCGCUAUGUUGUAAUUUGUACAAUCUGUACAACAUUUACUUCAUUACAUUGUUUGCAACAUUUUUGUAUUGCGUUAACAAUAAGACUGUUUACUUGAAAAGAAUCGUCCGUUCAGUCAUUUGAAGUCAACGGUGUGUGCGGAGUUGGGAGUCGGGACUGGAUGGAAAUGGCAAAGAAAAAUUGAAAGCACAGUGGCAUUAAAGUGGCAUUUGUAAGUGAAUAAAAAUAAAGAUAAAUGUUAAAAAUUUCCGAUGGCUUAAUUGGAACCCUGGGCCUCUAGUGUUGAAGCUCUACAUGCUAACCACUGCACCAUAGGUGCAUGCCUAAUCACGCAGAAUAUUAAACACCUUUAAGGAUCACACGCACAAGCAGGCGUGCUUGACACUUGGCAGGUUUUGAAAAAUGCCAACAGUUUCAUGAUGGAUUUCCUACAUACAAGCCAGUGACACGUUAACACACUUGGCAUGUUUUCACAAUGCUGACAGUUUGCCACUGUUCUCAUCUCGUGCAUACAUAUGUCAUCAAACGUGUGAGGCCUGCACCACCACUGGCAACGCUAUUGAUCACUCUUGUAUGUAGCCUAGAGUUGCUCGAACCAGACGGUACCCUGUACCUCGGCGUAAUGCUAACGUGUUUCUCUCACAUUUACCUCUAAACUGAUGCUGACCUUCCUAAUCAGAACUUUAUUAUUUAGCCUCAUGCUACAUUUGACAUUGCACAUUUCUAUUUAGGUGAGACAUUUAUUUGAUGAGCCACCGCACCCUUUUGUACAGCGACUUAGUGUAGGUGGGCUUUUAAUUAUGACUCAUGCAAACGUAACAAGAAUGUUGGAAAGAAAAGGAGGUAUUUCCUGCAUCACAUUGUUGUGGUCAGCACUUUCGUAUGAACAAGGUGCUGCUAUUGAAUAGUAUAUCAUCCAUUGAAUUGUCAUGUUAGGCCAAAGUUGCAUUUAAAAAGGUUUGGAUGUGCGAGAAUGACAUGCAUUAUCUACCAAAAGAGCAUUGACACUUGUUACGUGCGAGCAAGCAGUCAUGAUAAUGCGCAAGUUAACAUUUGCCAUUGUAAAUAUAGCUAGAUUUCACUGUGCCCUUUCCUUUUCCGCUGUUUUUUUUUUUCUUUUUUCAGGUUAUGACCCUUCUUGGAGUUUGACUACACACUUUGUGUUGCACACGUUAUAAUAGUACUUGUAGUGAAGUCGGCACUUGCCUUCAGCAAAGCCAUUUGAAUAGUGUCAAAGAUUUUCAAAAAAUUUUUAUGCAUAGAGAAAUUUGCUCCGUUGUCAUCAUUGUUUUUAUGACUUGAAAUGAGGCACUAAAAUGGAUUACUAUUGGUUUAGUAUAGCAAGCUAGUCCUUGGAAAACUUUUCUUUUAUUAAUAAACAUGUUUAUUAUUCAGAGAGAAAACUGCAGUCAAAGUUUUGCAUUUUUUUAAUUUUGUGUCAAAACCCUAUCAAUAUGUCAAUGUAACAUUGUGUACUUCAAAGCGUGUUUUCAUAUUUUAGCUCAAUAAAGGUUUCUGAAACUUGCCAUACUAAUUUCUGGCUUCUUUAGAACAGAAUGUAAUAAAUUACUGAUAAUAAACUCCUUAGCAGGCACCGGUCAAAUUUAUAAAGUCAGGACAAUCUGGUGUGUAAAGUUCAUGCUGUUGUCAACACCUGUAUUUUCUUCAUGCGACUUUUUCAGGUUACCACUCAUAUUCUUGCAGCAAGAGUGGUGCUUUUCCUAUUGUGGAAUGGUUAUGUACUAAGUCAAUUUUCACUUAAGUGUCUCUGAAAGGAGGCCUUCGUCCCUGCUACGUAUUUCUGCUGCUGUCAGUAUGCUUGUUUGUUUGUUUGUUUGUUUGCUUUUUUAUCUCAUGUUCACUAUGUGUGAUUCACAGGAAAUGCAGGUGUGGUCAACCAAGCCUUACCCAAGCAAGAGUUUCCAUUUUACAGCGUCCCUUCCCUCAACUACUUCUUGACCGGUGCCAACAACGGGCAGUCCCCGUCCUCGUCGACAAACCUGAAUUCCACUCCUCUCACAGACGUCCUAGUUGUGGGUACACGACAGGUGCCAACGACUCCGGCACAGCCACCAAAGGAAUUUCCUUGCACCAUCUGCGGUCGAAAGUUCAGCCUCAAGUGCAAUCUGAACCGACACCAUCUGGUGCACUCAGGUGUGCGCAAUUACGGCUGCGAGGUGUGCGGACAGCGAUUUGUGUUGCGACAGCACCUCAAGAAGCACCUCGAGAGACACGCCAAGGAGUGCUCGUGAGCACCUUUUUGCCUGCUCUCUCGCGUAGUGCUUCACAGUCGAGCCAUGCCUUUGUACUCCUCUGCUCUUCUUUGCCCUUGAACUACUCUCAGAUUGUCUUGGGGCAUGGAAUGUGUCUGUUUUUUAACUAUGAUCACUUGCUUUUUAAAAUCCGCAAUCUGAAACUUAUUGAUUAAAUGCAUGGUGUUCCACAGUCACUGUUUAGUCAGAGAUGUAAUGCCAGCGCGUAUUGCCUGAUCGGCAAGAAAUCAAGUGAAACCAACUGUUAGGUACUUUUGCUUCCUCCUUGCUGUCUUUUGAACUGUUGUUACCUUCUUUUCGGUGUAAAUGCAGUUUCUUAUUUCACUUGAUACCAUCUUUUGAGCAACUAUUUGGAAUUUUCUAUCUGGUUGUGCGUAAUAUGCAUGGUAAUUGUCUUCUUCUCAGUGGAUAAGAAGGUACAUUAGAAAUAUGCUGGCUAGCCUUCUUGUCACACUUCCAAAAGGUGCUCUGGAAUCUUGCUAUUUUCUUUUUACACGUUAUAACUUUCCGUUAAGUUUGUAUUGGUGUACAGGAACUGCCCACGGCGGACAGAGCAUUGAACUGUAGUGCUGUGCAGCCAUCGAGAUGGAUACAAUGUUGGCACCUCAUGUGCGAUUUAUAAUUACAAAAGCUAACAUUGUCCCUGCUGGUUUCAAUAGCAACUGCUUCGGUCCCCCCCCCCCCUCGCUUCCCCCCCUCUGGUUUUGAAGACUAGUGGCAUCAGCGUGCUGCAAUGUGAUAAGCCAGCAUGACCGCAGUGACCAUAGUAGUAGCGGAUUCUACACAGUGACUACACAAACUCAUCAAAGGCAAUCUCACAGGCACUCUUUGUUCAUGCGAGCGGCAACCAAUGUGUGUGCUUGCGCAUGUCAUUGCUGCUGUACAGUAGCCAAAGGUGCAAUGUUCACCAAAGAUUUUCUUUUUCAUCUCACUUUCCAUCUCCACCGACAUCUCACCACUAUCUUCCAUUUCUUAAUAAACCUUUAGGUUUGUGAUUGCUUCUUAAAACGAGUUACUAGAACAUGGGUUAACAAAUGCACACGGAAGUUUAAGCAGGCCACUUGCCUUAUUUGGGCCACAUGAAUUUAUCUGAAUGACCCAGUGAAACUAAUUGCAAUUAAAGGAUUAGCCAGCGUUUCAGAAAGUUAAUCAGUUGGCCAACAACAAGUUUUAAAUGACAGCAGAGUGAGGCGUAAUGCUAGUAGCGCUAAAAAGAAACGUUAAAAAGAGAUUGGCUAACAUGACGGCCUUGUGCUUUCAGUGGAUGAAAUUCUCAAAUCAAACUAAUGUAGAUUUUGACGUUUUAAGAUGAAGCCACAUGCUAUUACCUAAAUAUUUCAUUCCUCUUUUGCCAUUGCUUCGUGUUUUCUUAAGUUUCCAUGUGCAGUGUUUGUGAGAUUUUGUUCUUCGUGAUGCACCUCGGCAAUGUUUUAUUUUUCAUUGUUUAUGCUAUCAUGAGCUCCCGAACAGACAGUGUGAAUAAAUUUGUGUCACACCUACCA